AGGACGAACGCUGGCGGCGUGCUUAACACAUGCAAGUCGAACGGUCUCUCUCUUUACUCGCAAGAGUGGGAGAGAGGUAGUGGCGAACGGGUGAGUAACACGUGAGAAACCUAUCCUGGUCUCUGGGAUAACAGCCGGAAACGGCUGCUAAUACCGGAUGCCGUCGGAGCGUCGCAUGGCGCGCUGACGAAAGGGUUACUGGAUCAGGAGGGUCUCGCGGCCUAUCAGCUAGUGGUGGGUAACGCCUACAAGCAUCGACGGUAGCUGGUCUGAGAGGAUGAUCAGCCACACGUGGGACUGAGACACGGCCCAGACUCCGACGGGAGCAGCAGGUGGGAAUCGUGCGCGAAGUGGGACGAAAGCCUAGACCGCAGCAACGCCGCGUGACGGAAGAACGGCCCGUCGGGUACGUAAACCGUCGUUACGAAGAAAGGAAACGAAAAGUCGGAACGUUAAC
rnacentral:rRNA from 1 species